UAAAAAUCAGCGCGAUUGUAGCUAAGAUCAGUUAAUAAACGAGGUUCAGUGCGAGCGCAUCGUAACGGGCUGGAAGAGUAGUUACGGUAUUGCUACCGAGGCGCGACGACGUGAAGUGAGAAGAAAGGGGAUGCGCUUUGGCUUCAAUCAUCAAUUUGAUAUCGAGUGAAGAAAUAAGUCGAAGUUAAGAAUAGAGAAUUGUUCCAGGCAAAGUGAAGCUUAACUAAAAAGUUAAGGCCAAGUGCAGUGCGUUGCGACGAUAUCGAAGAAAAUAGAGAAAAAAGAAGCUGCAAAGAGACUAAUUAAACCCAUAGAUAAUAGAGCUUAGUUGCCAACGACGACGAAUAAACUUCUGAGUAGAAAGGUGUACGAAGAAAUAUCAAACAAGCAUUUGACGAAAGAUAUAUGUAAAAAGAAGUUUUAUGUGCUCGUAGAUAUGAAAAAAUGCGGCAUAAUCCGAGCACAAGCAAACAAAGAAAUAAAUCAUACAAGAAAAUUCGAGUCAAGAUUCUUGCAUAUUAAUUAAUUAGGCACAUAAAUCAGUGCACAGAGAACGAUAUACAUACGUAGCUGGGCGAUAACGAAUUGUUAAACGAAUGAAAUAAAUAAGUAUAAAAAAUAAACGAGAAUGCAUUUUUUCUUUGCUUAGAAGAAUUC